AAAAGAACGAACGACUCAGACAUGAAGAUUCCAGAGAUGUUGGGCUUUCUGCCACACCAAUAUGGACAAGAUGGCAGAUUGUGAAUCUUAUGGAAAAAGAAACAGUGGACAGUCAUAAAGGAAAUGAAUAAGGCAAAAAUUAGGGAAAAGGCAUGGAUGAUGAUAGGUAAUACUUUUCCCCUUUUGUUUUUUUUUUUUUGUUUUUUUACAAGAGUUUUGAAAAGUAAAAAACAUUUUAUACUAAUCCAAUAACUUUACAGAUCUUUAUUGUAAAGGGUUUAAACAAUGUUUUCCAUGCUUGUUCAAUGAACCAUUAAUAAUUAAUGAACAUGCACCUGUGGAACGGUCGUUAAGACACUACAGCUUACAGAUGAUAGGCAAUUAAGGUCGCAGUUAUAAAAAGUUAGGACACUAAAGAGACCUUUCUACUGACUCUGAAAAACACCAAAAGAAAGAUGCCCAGGGUCCCUGUUCAUCUGUGUGAACAUGCCUUAGGCAUGCUGCAUGGAGGCAUGAGGACUGCAGAUGUGGCCAGGGCAAUAAAAUUCCAUGUCCGUACUGUGAGAUGCCUAAGACAGCAUUACAGGGAGACAAGAAGGACAGCUGAUCAUCCUCGCAGUGGCAGACCACGUGUAACAACACCUGCACAUCCAAAUAUCACACCUGCGGGACAGGUACAGGAUGGCAACAACAACUGCCUGAGUUACACCAGGAACGCACAAUCCCUCCAUCAGUGCUCAGACUGUCCACAAUAGACUGAGAGAGGCUGGACUGAGGGCUUGUAGGCCUGUUGUAAGGCAGGUCCUUACCAGACAUCACCCGCAACAAUGUCGCCUAUGGGCACAAACCCACCUCCGCUGGACCAGACAGGACUGGCAAAAAGUGCUCUUCACUGAUGAGUCGCGGUUUUGUCUCACCAGGGGUGAUGGUCGGACUCGCGUUUAUCGUCAAAGGAAUGAGCGUUACAUCGAGGCCUGUAAUCUGAAGCGGGAUCGAUUUGGAGGUGGAGGGUCCAUCAUGGUCUAGGGCUGUGUGUCACAGCAUCAUCGGACUGAGCUUGUUGUCAUUGCAGGUAAUCUCAACACUGUGCGAUACAGGGAAGACAUCCUCCUCCCUCAUGUGGUACCUUCCUGCAGGCUCAUCAUGACACGACCCUCCAGCAUAACAAUGCCACCAGCUAUACUGCUCGUUGUGUGUGUGAUUUCCUGCAAGACAGGUAUGUUAGUGUUCUGCCAUGGCCAGCGAAGAGCCCGGAUCUCAAUCCCAUUGAGCACGUCUGGGACCUGUUGGAUCGGAGGGUGAGGGGUAGGGCCAUUCCCCCCAGAAAUGUCUGGGAACUUGCAAGUGCCUUGGUGGAAGAGUGGUAACACCUCACAGCAAGAACUGGCAAAUCUGGUGCAGUCCAUGAGGAGGAGAUGCACUGCAGUACUUAAUGCAGCUGGGUUCAGGGACACAUUAUUCCAUUUCUGUUAGUCACAUGUCUGUGAAACUUGUUCAGUUUAUGUCUUAGUUGUUGAAUCUUUUUAUGUUCAUACAAAUAUUUACACGUUAAGUUUGCUGAAAAUAAAAGCACUUGAAAGUGAGAGGGCAUUUCUUUUUUUGCUGAGUUUAUAUAUAUAUUAAUGAAUAGUACUUAUCUACUAAACUAAUUUCUUUGCUUUUUGGGUAUUUAAGUAAUUCCUUUAUUAUAUACUGUACAUAUCCUAAUUUUGCAUUGUUUCCUUUAUCAGAAAAUAAAAACCUAUUCUGUUAUAUUUAUCACAAGAAGCACCUUGGUAUUACAGUGUUUUUUUUUUAGACAACUGUGGUACCUUGGAGUACCAUUACAAAAUCAUGAAAUAUGAAUAUAGUAAUCAUUCGGUACCAUGGUAUUACCCCGGUAACACCACAGUGCUUCAAAGUCAUCACAGUGCAUCACUCUUCUCUUCAAUUUCUCUCAUCUCUAAUCGUUCACUUCAUCCUGUCAUCUUUGCUGCUUCCUCUCUGACCUCGUCAUCCUCUUUAUACAGCUGACACUUUUUUAUAGUACUUUCUCUUAAUUUCCUUUCAUAUUAAUAUAAUGUUAUUUUAUAAAAAUGUUGGCAUUAAUACUAAGGAAUGUCGGAAUUGAGAGUGUUAUGCGAUGUCGGAAAACCAGUCGAGUUUUAUUCUUUUGAAUGUACACUACAAUAAAUAGAGUGGACUUUUUAUCUGACCUGUUACUCUUCGGAGACUUCGAGAUUCCGGGGCAAAUUCCAAAUGGCAUUUUUGCUUCCUUGAAGGGCACUGCUGCGGGAAGGGGACACCCCUCAAAAGCAUGUUCCAAAUGAAAGUGAGGAAACAAGUCUUUUCUGGAAGGCGCCCCUGCAGCACCCUUUCUGUGCACGCCACUGAAACCUAUUACCACCUAUGAACUUAUAUAUUUUACACUGUUAGGAUCUCAUCUCACACCAUUGUUUUAAUCUAUUUUUUACAGUUAUCAGCAAUAUUGUCCUGUUUCUUAGCUUGUUUAAUUCUCUGUUUUCUAGGUGUGACUGCUUGGGAAUUUAACAGAUAAUG